AGUAUAAUUACUAGGUUGUAUGAUAAGUUCAUGCUUUGUUUUAUAAGAAACCAUCAGAUUGGUUGUGCCAUUUUACAUUCCCAAUAGCAAU
rnacentral:pre_miRNA from 1 species